rnacentral:rRNA from 1 species
UACGUAGGGUGCAAGCGUUGUCCGGAAUCACUGGGCGUAAAGGGUGCGUAGGCGGGUCUUUAAGUCAGGGGUGAAAUCCUGGAGCUCAACUCCAGAACUGCCUUUGAUACUGAGGAUCUUGAGUUCGGGAGAGGUGAGUGGAACUGCGAGUGUAGAGGUGAAAUUCGUAGAUAUUCGCAAGAACACCAGUGGCGAAGGCGGCUCACUGGCCCGAUACUGACGCUGAGGCACGAAAGCGUGGGGAGCAAACAGGG